ensembl:lncRNA
UCUCACACCACUUGGCUCAUGCUAUAAAAAAGACGCAGGAUCAGACCUGAAGUGACCCACAUCCAGAGGGACCAGGAUGAUGCUUUCCUUUGUCUUUGUUUUUGCGCUGGAUGGUCAAAGUGAAGAUUGGCUUAAAUAACCAAGUACCAUUUUUGAAACAAAUUAAAGUUUUUUUAAAACAAUUUUUUAGGAUCCCCCCAAAAUCUUGAACGGGAUAUUGAUCCUAAACAACAGUUUACCUUCAAAGAAGGUGAUCAACCCCAUGAUAUUAUGCUGAUAAAACUGAAUAGGGUUUGUGAGCACAACUCCAGAUUUUAGUAUGCUCUAGAAUAGCCCCAACAUACCAGAUGAUUGAGACUAUGCUGUAGAAUUUGGGUUUAACUGUCAUUUCUUUCUGUUUUCCAUAAAAAAAAGUUUCACAUUUCAGCCACACUCCCACUUCAUAGAGCACAUAGUGUGAUAUCAAGCUGACCCAUUGUUAAAUGAGCACUGACAAAUCUGUAGAACAAGGCACCUUCAUUUAUGUGAACUAAGUAAAACUCAAGAUCAUAGUAUGUGCUAGAAUUCUGUUUUGUCGGAUCACGUUCAGUUUUGAUGAUACACUUGCAGAGACAUUGUUUCAGCAACCUUAGUGUGUAGGGUCUUGACAUUUAUUUCCAUCCAGAUUUACA